GCAGAUUGUUAAUAUUGCUUAGGUGAUGGAUCUACGAGACGUGGUCAGGUCGUGGAGGUUGAUGGCGAGAAACUGUUCAGGAACAUCUGAAAUUGGCACCGUUCAAUUCCCUGGAGAGGUACUGAAAACACAUCUAUGACAUGACAUGCUUGGGCGCAUUUUUAACUGCUCAAGAAAGCCAAUUGAUAACGGCCCUCCUAUUUUGCCUGAGGCAUACCUUGAUAUUUUCUGGAAGCUCAAUAAACCCCAGUGAAAGCACUUACCCUAAAGAAAUGAUACAAAUGGGUAUUUUUACCAUUGAUGUCAUGAACUUAUACUCUUCCUUGAAGAUGUGCAUGAGACCAUUCAUGAAGGAAUCAACCUUGGUGAAGACAUCAAUGUCUCUAUAGUCAGGGAUACCAGCUGUGCUAAAUCCUCAUUUCUAAGGUACUGGUUCUCACUGGAUAUUAAUUGCUCCUGUUUUAUAUUUUCUAAAACAUGUCCGCCCCUCAGUGUUGCAUUGUUUAUGCAUGCACACCACAGGCUUAGUGCCAAGUUAUGUGUAUACAUCUAGGAAGUGGCUACGCGCGGUGACAUAUGUUACCGUCAGUGAUAUGUUGUUUUAACUUUUUCUUAACUCACGUCUAAUCUGUGGCUGAGUUUUACAGUUUAGGUAUGCGGUAUUCUGUGCCUAUAUGAGGGUAAUUAUGGGUAUGGAGGGAUGAAUUUAAGUUAAUUGGCGUGUAACUUAU